CGACAUAUAAGGUAGGAAAUGUGUCCAUUGUUUCCAUUGUAGCGUUACCUCGGUACUGAGCAAAAAUGAAAUACGUCUUCGUUACCCUCUUCGUCUUGGCGCUCUUCUAUCAUGCGGCCGCACAACAGCCCUGUAGGUUCUAUGGCAGAGGCCAACAAUGCGACUGCGGGCCACUUGCUGCGGUGUUCUGGAUUGGAUCGACCCAAAUUUGCGAGUUCAAAUGCAGAGAUCAGUAUGGCAGAAUGUUUUCAUGCGAACAAGUGAGAAUGCUUUAGAUACCCAUCGAUUGUCAUAAGCAUACACCUUCAAAGGCUGGUUUCAACCCUGUAUGGAAUUUUUUAAUUGUAGGAAAUGUUUCCAGAAAAGAAAGCCUUUCUGAUCGUCUUUCCUGGAGUUAAAACGCUCUCCUGGAAAUGAAAGUAAUUUCUUGCUUCUUACUAUUUCUCACAUUUUCGGUCAACUCUUUGAAUCCAAAGUCUUUAAUAAAGUUUUCUACAAAACCA